CUGUCCCUAGGGCACAUCCGAUAAAAUUGGAAUGAUACAGAGAAGAUUAGCAUGGUCCUUGCACAAGAAUGACACCCAUAAAUAAAAAAAUAGUCUAGAUUUUU